UUAAGUUCAGCGGGUAUCCCUACCUGAUCCGAGGUCAACCUGAAAAAAAUUGGGGGUUGCUGGCGAGCACACGACCGGACCUCCAGAGCGAGAAGAAUUACUACGCUCGGAGCCGGACGGCACCGCCACUGACUUUAGGGCCCGCCGGGUCGGCGGGGCCCAAUACCAAGCUGAGCUUGAGGGUUGUAAUGACGCUCGGA
rnacentral:misc_RNA from 1 species